UACGGAGGAUCCAAGCGUUAUCCGGAAUCAUUGGGUUUAAAGGGUCCGUAGGCGGUUUGGUAAGUCAGUGGUGAAAGCCCAUCGCUCAACGGUGGAACGGCCAUUGAUACUGCCAGACUUGAAUUAUUAGGAAGUAACUAGAAUAUGUAGUGUAGCGGUGAAAUGCUUAGAGAUUACAUGGAAUACCAAUUGCGAAGCAGGUUACUACUAAUGAUUGACGCUGAUGGACGAAAGCGUGGGUAGCGAACAGGA
rnacentral:rRNA from 1 species